rnacentral:rRNA from 1 species
GACAGAGGUGCCAAGCGUUAGGCGGAAUCACUGGGCUUAAAGCGUGUGUAGGCGGAAUUCUAAGUACCUUGUGAAAUCCCACAGCUCAACUGUGGAACUGCUCGGUAUACUGGUUUUCUUGAGCCACUUAAGGGGCUGUCGGAACAAGCGGUGGAGCGGUGAAAUGCGUAGAUAUCAGGAGGAACACCUGCGGUGUAGACGGCUUACUGGACCAUAACUGACGCUGAGGCACGAAAGCGUGGGUAGCAAACAGG